rnacentral:lncRNA from 1 species
GCCAAAGGAAGAACAAAGGAAGGAAAAGAAAGAACAAACCCUAGGUGGAGAAUUUCAAGAGAAAAAGUGUGAAAAAUCAAGGAAAACAAGUGAAAAAGGUAGGAUAUCUCAAUUUAAACUUGAAAUCUAUUUUCCUUAAGCAUUUGUCCUUAGUUUUCAUGGUUAAAUUAUAUGUUUUCAUGGUGAAUUCAUGGCUAGCCGAAUGGGUAUGGAGAGAGAAUGAUGUUGGAUUGAUUUGAUUUCAAGUUAUGUUGGUGUUUUUAGUUAGUUUACCAUGUCUAGAAGCAAAACAACAAAAAAAGAAUUCAUUUUCCUCAUCACCCAUCAAUGGCCGAACCUACCUUGUAUUGAGUGAGGAUGAAUUUGAUUUUUAUUUUAAGAGAAUUGGUUAGAAAAUGAUGAAUUAUGGUGUGAAAAAGUAGCAGAAAAAAUCACGGUCUUAAUGCACCAUUAUUGACCAUAAAUUCUAAAAAGAAAAGUGAAGAUGGAUUUGCCAAAUUUUAGGUUAUUUGACUUGUGUUUGGUGAAUUAAGAAUUGGAAAAAAUAUGGAGUUAAUUGGAGUUAAAUUGGACGUAUUGGCCAAUUAAUCGGGGGAUAGAUCGAAUUAGGCCAAUACCGAUUUAUUUAGGUACACAAGUGAAUUUAUAUUAAACACCGUAUUUAGAUAGUUACCCAACUAUUUCACAUCCCAUUUCAUGCAUUAGUAUAGAGCUUGAAUUGGUUUUAUAAUAAUUUAGCACAAAUGUAGUAAAUGGCUUAUUGUGCAUUAUGUCUAGGUGGUGAGCAUUCUAGCAAAAGUAAAGAGAUAGUACCCGAGGAUCAGGAAUCGGAGUACUCAAAAUUCGACUCUCGAAACAGUGAGUAACCUUACUAUCGUCUUAAUUAUCUAAAGUGGUUUUUAUUCGAUUUUAUGAAUUUCAUGGAAAAUGAAUUAAAUGAUUAAUUUUUCAGUUUUAUAAACCAAAUGUGAUUUAAUGAAAUGAUUUCAUAAAAUUGUUUUAAAAUUGAAUAAUGGCUUUGAAAUAGAGUAAUUGGAGACCACUUGAUAUGUUGUAAAUUUAUGAUUUUAAUUGAUUGGCUUAUGGCAAUAUUGGCAUGAAUGGUUGAAUUGCUAAAUGUGCUAAAAAUGCAUGAAUUAUUGAUUUACCUUGAGAGGCUGUAAAAUAAAAUAAUUGCCAUGUCAUGCUAAUGCAAAUUUUAUUGUAUGGUGGGUUUAGCUUGCUGCAGUGGGCUGGUUCUAUGGACUAGCCUAUUAAAGGGGCACGGAACCUGGUCAUAUUCUUACUUCGGUUGGAGAGGCGAGUAGGGUAACUCUCGAGGUAUAACUUUAGAGUUCACUUCAUUCCAAACCACCUCGUGAUGAUGAACUCCGUUAACGCCAAGGAACGGCUAUGUUUUUAAAAUAAAAACAUGAUUUAUGAGUACAUAACUUUUUAAUAGCCUUGGCGGACUCGGUUUGGGAUAGCCCACGGCCAAGGUAUCCCUGAUAACUGAGUAUGAGAAUGAUUUUGGCACGAGCCAAAUCUUUUAAGAAAUUCAUAAGCCAUGUUAAUUACUCGAUUUAUAUGAAUUGAUUUUAUUUGGUUGAAACUUGUUGAAAGGUGAUGAAUUACAGUAUGUUAAACUAUUUUAUCUGUCUCCAUUUACUCGGCUUUAGAUAUUUUAGAUGGUAUUUGUUUACUCACUGGGAUUAUAUAAUCUCACCACCUUCCUUUCCACCUAUUUCAGGCUCAGAAUAGAUUGUAGAUAACUGAUAUCGUCGAAAACUACAGUUGGACUCGCCACAUCCAAAAACUAUAGGUUCAUUUCUUUUGAUACUUUUAGUCAUUCGUGGGCCCAUGUGUCACUGUAAAUUAAAUUUUAUACUUUGGUUAUCUAUAUUACAGUAUGUAUGAAUUUAUUUAGCUUUUAUGCUAUAAAAAUUAUUUACCG